CCAAAAGACAGCUUUUCUGCCUGUCUAUAUAUUUGCUCGCACAGUUCUCUAGUCGGCGCUACGAUAAUCGCUCUAUAUCCACCCGGAACAUGUAACUGAAGUUUUUGCAAAAUUGGGAAUAGAUAUGCAAUAGUUUUUCCAGAACCAGUUGGUGCACAUGCCAAUAGGUCUCGUUUAGAACCUAUCGUUGGAAUGGCAUAUCUUUGAAUUGUGGUACAUUCUGUUAUGUUUUGUUUUUUUAAGUUUUCACAAAGUAUUCCUUCCGGAAACUCUUCAAUUGGAUCAACAGGAUUAUUACCAGUAACUUUAGCUUUUCCCUUAGUA